rnacentral:rRNA from 1 species
CCUACGGGUGGCAGCAGUCGAGAAUUUUUCUCAAUGGGGGAAACCCUGAAGGAGCGACGCCGCGUGGAGGAUGAAGGUCUUCGGAUUGUAAACUCCUGUCAUUGGGGAACAAACCGCUAGGGUUAACUGCCUUGGCGCUGAUAGUACCCGAAGAGGAAGAGACGGCUAACUCUGUGCCAGCAGCCGCGGUAAUACAGAGGUCUCGAGCGUUGUUCGGAUUCAUUGGGCGUAAAGGGUGCGUAGGUGGUCGGGUAAGUCGGAUGUGAAAUCCCGGGGCUCAACCCCGGAACUGCAUUCGAUACUGCUUGGCUUGAGUACUGGAGAGGAGAUCGGAAUUUACGGUGUAGCAGUGAAAUGCGUAGAUAUCGUAAGGAAGACCAGUGGCGAAGGCGGAUCUCUGGACAGUUACUGACACUGAGGCACGAAGGCCAGGGGAGCAAACGGGAUUAGAUACCCCUGUAGUC